CAGCAGCGGUUGCCCUCCCCCUGACAACGACGACAACGUUCAUCGUGUCGAAAGCGCUCAUCAUUCCCGAACUACUGCACGAAACCCCGCUCCUCACUUCCUCACCUACUGGCGCGGGCACAAACCUGCAGCCGCUGAGAGUUGGUGAGCUAAGCCACUCCCCUUCUCCCGAGUACACCGCAGCUGCGUAUACAUAACGGAGAGUACCACACGUUUCGCCUACCCCUGCUAACAUCCGAUCAGCCUCUCUCUCUCUACUCAAUUUUUUUUUAGCUUCUUCUCAAGAUGCUCCGUCCGUCAGUGCGCAUGACCACGCGAGCGCAGACGUCGCGCGUCUGCUCCUUUCACGCCGGGCUGGCAUCGGUGACUGAGACACCCUUUUCCGCUCUCGCCGGUGGGGCGGUGCGUCCACAGCCCCGCUCCCUUGCUCAGAGCGUUCGCCGCGGUGCGUGUCUGCGAAGGGCUGAGACGGCGACCACCACACGGACUUCCGCGUUCUCUCCGUGCUGCACGUCCACGGCACCACUCUUCACGAAUGCGAAGAAUUCGUACGCGCGCGGCACAGAAGAGGAGCAGCAGGCGCGUCAGGAGGCUGCGGUCAAGGAGUGGCGCGACUUUCUCGAUCAGCCGGUGGACGCGGACGGCGGUAACGCCCCGUCAGCGCGCCAUGUCGAGGCCCGCCUGCCAACCAUGAAGCAGCUGAACGAAGAGCUGCCCACGGCGGCAGAGCUGGAGAAGGCGCUGCGUGAGGGGAAGAUAGAUGCGUACGCCACGCAGCCGGACAGGGACGAGGAUUAGGGUGCCCGCCGGGCAGCAUCAAGGGUGCGUGCCCGUUUCUCUGCCUCUUACUUGUCGCGCACCCACGUCCGAACACGUGUGCAAACAACCGCCUGCUCUCAUCCGCCCUUCCUGUUUCCCUCGCCGCCGCUGCCGCUGCUGCUGCUGCUUGCUUGCUUGCUUGAUCUUGCGGUCUUGCGUACUCACGCACAUGCACUCCACAUGCGUCGCCGCUUGAUACGAAGGGCUGCACUCUUCUCUCCGUCCUUCGGAACAUGCAUACAUAUAUAUUCAUUGGAUACCCUUCUGUACAUGUAUAUAUAUAUAUAUAUAUGUGCAUGUGUGUCUGCCUCUGUCAGUGGCGUCACAUGAACGACGGCGGGCCUGAGUGUCGUCGCUGUCUCCAUGUGGGGUGCAUGUCUUGGAAAAGGUGUAUGUGUGUGUGUGUGGAUGGGUAGGUGUGCGCUCUGGGGAAGAUCGCGCGGCGUGGAGACGAUCCAGUCGUGCAUGACGGGGUCACAAAGACCACCGCCACCACCUGCUCUCCUCUUGUUCACAGACGCUCUGAAUGCGGACGGGUCUCUGUCUCUCUCUUAAUUUGCACGGAUACACAAGCAGGCAGACAGACCCGUGCAGGGCGAGACGCACAGACUCGUUAUUUGUUUCCGUGUCACUGCUGCACGAGGCUGCGCAUCUCACCUCUCGUUUCCCUUCCUGCUGUUUGCGUCCUGUUGAGACGCUCCGUCCACUUCUUCCGAUCCGCCUCUGCGUGGGUGUGCGUGCUGUUUGCUGCCGUGCACAGGCACGCACACACCCGUGUAGAGGCCCUCCACGACCCGCAUGCGUGCGUGAUGAGCUGUUUUGGCUCCUGCUUCCUUCUCCCUCUGUUUCUGCGCAUAUGUGGAUGCCGCCAUCACUCGCCUCGUGACGUGCGUGUCGUGGUA
rnacentral:misc_RNA from 1 species